rnacentral:lncRNA from 1 species
UGGCCCAUUCGAAGUAUCCAAGAUUCUGAGAUCCGGAGCCGUGGAAAUCAAGAACGAAACCUGUAGUCCAUUCAUUGUAAAUGGACAAAGACUGAAGCUCUACAAAGGAGGAGACAUUCCAACAUACUACUCAAGCCACACGCUGAUUGAUCCACCAAUUCCUACUACUACAGGUGUAUAGAUUCUAAUCGUCAAGCUAAUGACGUUAAACAAGCGCUACGUGGGAGGCAACCCAUGGUU